rnacentral:lncRNA from 1 species
AUACAUAGGAAAACAACUGGAAGCAAAGUGUGAAGAUAUUUUAAUACCCUAAUGUGGAGCCCAUUGAAAAGCAAGUGGAGAAGGUCACUCUCAUAUUGAAGGCCUAGGGAGUAACUUGGCUUUUGAAGACAUCAACAUAGAAAGAGAGCAAGCCUCAACACUUUCUUAUUUCAGCUGUAGGUGAAGGUGAUGGUAGUUUUAGGAAUACUACUGACAUCAGUGUUUGGGAUAGAUGUGAGAGGUGGACUCAACAGAAACUAAAGGUUGGAGAUCUGCCUCCAGGCAGAAGUUUCACUGGGGUUGCGGUAAAGGAACUGAAAGGAAGAGAGGCAUAAAAUUGUGUUAUGAAGAAUCUACAAAUAGAAGUUUUUAGGAAAAGAAGUGACAAAGUAAAUGCAGAAAGCAAAGGACAAGGAUGAUUAUCAAGUCAUUCGGGUGACUCUGGGAGAUCUGUCAAGUGAGGGCUGAGAACAGAUCACUGGGGAAGACAUGGCUGGCCCUUGUCAGCCCCCUGGGGUCAGGGAGACUAAAGUCUGAUGGGACUAGGUUGAAAGAGAACUCUCUGAAGAUGUCUCGCUGUAAAGGGAAGCAGAGAAAAGGACCGGGAAAGAUGUGGGGUUCAAGAGACUUUUCAACUGGAGAAAUGUUAGCUUCUUUUGUGGUAAUGGGAAUGAUCUUGCAGAUGGGAGAACUCUCAGGAAAGACAGGAGACAGUAGGUUCCAGGGAGCCAGCAGAGGAAGGACAUCUCCAUGGCAGAAUGUGUGGAAUCCACCGGAAGGCAAAGCUGACACUAAGAAAAGCAGGACAACGAUAGAAAGGAGUGAGCCGCAAGACGACACUUUUGAGUGACCAGGUCAAGCCCACAUUUCAGUCUGCUAUAUGGUUACUUUCUCCAAUGUGAGUAGGGUUUUACAUUGCCUACUGUCUUAGGCCAUUUAGCAGAUAAGGCUGGGUACUUUAUAAUCAAUGCAAAUUAAUUGGGACAGAGUCCUGGAGGCUGGGAAGUAGAGGGGCCUACAUCCACUGUGGGCCCUCUCACUGCGUCAUCGCGUGGCACAGAGCACAAGCCCUUUUAAUAAUGCCAUUAAUCUAUUCAUGAGGGGUGAGACCUCAUAGCCCGAUGACCUCCCAGUAGGUCCUACCUCCUGCCACUGACCAAGAGGGGAUCUGGUUUCCAGCACAUGAAUUCUGGUGACCAUAUUCAAAGCAUAACACCUAUGUCUCAGGAAAAAAACUAAAUAAAUAAAGAGCAUAGACUCA